rnacentral:lncRNA from 1 species
UUCCCUAUUUUACAAAACCCAGAAAAAUAAAAAAUAUUUCCAAUGUUUAAUUGAAGCCAAAAAUAAAUAAAUAAAAAGUUAAUUGAAGCAAAAAAAAAUCAAAUAAAAGUCUUGAUUACUCACUUUCUAAUUUCUCAUGCUUUUGUUAAUAUUCAGUUCCAUUUUGGUCGCCCAUGCUUCUAACUAAAAGGUACAUAAAAGUUUAUUUAAUGUUUACUUUAUUCUACUUUAGUGAAUACUCAUUGUAAUAGGCUCAAUUUGCCCGGCCCAAUUUUAUAAAUAAAAACAAAAUUAUUAAAAGUCCAUCAGUCAAGUUACAACCCAAUUUUCAUAACCCGAUUACAAUGGCCCAAAAACCCAAGUCACCUAACCCUAACCCAAAAUUCUAACCUAGCCCAAAACCCAACUCAGCCCCAAAACACUGAAAACCCUAGCAGCAGCAGGAGCCUCCUGCGCCGCUGCCACACACGCCUCUCCCCAUGCUCGUGGUGCCACGUCCGCUGCCUCCGUACGCUAACUGGUCUCCGUACCUGCAAAAGACGAACAAACGAGCAGCAGAAACAGAUAACAACGGCAAAAGGAGCAGCAAUUGACAGCAAAAGUACUAGCAGCAAAUAAAAACUGUAAAAGUUUUAUUUCUUUGUCCCUAUUUGGCUAUAAAAGGGCCGAUUGUAACCUGUAAAAAAGAGGGCAAUUAGAAUACAAAAAAAAAAAACACCAAAAGGUGAUUUCUAGGUUCAUUUUUUUUCUCUCUUAUUAUUUGUUCGUAGUUCGACCUUUUUUUGUUUUGUUGUUUUUCAUUUUGAGACUCUGUUGAGCAUUUACUAAAGAGAUAAUAGCAAUAAAAGAGAGAGGGUGUACCUCACGUUUGGACCGAUUGCUCUUCGUCUGUUGUCGUCGGAGUUAAAGGCAUGGUUCGGAGAGCCUCUGAAGGGGGCGAUGAACUGCUGAGCGGCGCCGAGAGAGAGGGAGAGUUUAAGUGUUUUAAAGAAAAAGGGAUAAAAUGUUUGGUUAGGUUUUUUUGUGUGUGUUUUGUUUUGUUUUAAUAACCGGAUUCAAAACGGCAUCGUCUAAUGACUAAACCCGAGCAGUGACCCGAUUCGGGGUAGGAUCCACAUCCUUUGGUUGGUUGGUCUAUUUUCCUAAUAGGUCCCUCCGUGUUUAAGGGGAUUGCGAUUUGAUUUCUUUUAAUGAUUUGUAAUUUGUACCUCAUAUUUACUGCUGUAUUCAUCUGGGUCCUAGUUUAAACAGUGCCGUUUCUGUGAUUUGAUAUGUAUUAUCUCAAUGUUUGCGUAUAAUUGCUGAUUUGGUCCUUUAUUUUUUUUUAUAAAUUUUAAUUUAAUACUAAGUUGGUUUUUUUUCUUAAAUUUCAACAAUAUUUUCAUCCUACUUUCGUAUAUUACAGUAUUUAACAUUAUUUGUAACAUUUAUUUUUAUAGUGUUUAAAU